rnacentral:rRNA from 1 species
CCCUUAGAUGUUCUGGGCUGCACGCGCGCUACACUGAAGCUAUCAACACGUUUUCCCUCCCUGAGAAGGGCGGGUAACCUUUUGAAUCAGCUUCGUGGUAGGGAUCGGGGCUUGCAAUUGUUCCCCGUGAACCAGGAAUUCCUAGUAGACGCGAGUCAUAAGCUCGCAUCGAUUAAGUCCCUGCCCUUUGUACACACCGCCCGUCGCUACUACCGAUUGAAUGGCUUAGUGAGCCUUUGGGAUUGGCAGCUUGUACCGGCAACGGUAGCAGGCAGCCGAAAACUUAGGCAAACUUGGUCAUUUAGAGGAAGUAAAAGUCGUAACA